CCUACGGGAGGCAGCCGUAGGUAAUCUUCCUCAAUUUUUUCCCCCCUGAAGCAGCAACGCCGCGUGGAGGAUGAAGGUUUUCGGAUUGUAAACUCCUUUUGUUAGAGAAGAUAAUGACGGUAUCUAACGAAUAAGCACCGGCUAACUCCGUGCCAGCAGCCGCGGCAAUACGGAGGGUGCAAGCGUUACUCGGAAUCACUGGGCGUAAAGAGCGCGUAGGCGGGAUAGCAAGUCAGAUGUGAAAUCAUAUGGCUUAACCAUAGAACUGCAUUUGAAACUGUUAUUCUAGAGUAUGGUAGAGGUAG
rnacentral:rRNA from 1 species